UAUGGCCUACCAAGGCGACGACGGGUAGCCGGCCUGAGAGGGUGAUCGGCCACACUGGGACUGAGACACGGCCCAGACUCCUACGGGAGGCAGCAGUGGGGAAUAUUGCACAAUGGGCGAAAGCCUGAUGCAGCGACGCCGCGUGAGGGGUGACGGCCUUCGGGUUGUAAACCUCUUUCAGCAGGGACGAAGCGUGAGUGACGGUACCUGCAGAAGAAGCACCGGCUAACUACGUGCCAGCAGCCGCGGUAAUACGUAGGGUGCGAGCGUUGUCCGGAAUUAUUGGGCGUAAAGAGCUCGUAGGCGGUUUGUCGCGUCGGCCGUGAAAACUUGGGGCUUAACUCCAAGCUUGCGGUCGAUACGGGCAGACUUGAGUUCGGCAGGGGAGACUGGAAUUCCUGGUGUAGCGGUGAAAUGCGCAGAUAUCAGGAGGAACACCGGUGGCGAAGGCGGGUCUCUGGGCCGAUACUGACGCUGAGGAGCGAAAGCGUGGGGAGCGAACAGGAUUAGAUACCCUGGUAGUCCACGCCGUAAACGGUGGGUGCUAGGU
rnacentral:rRNA from 1 species